UGCAAGUGCAGCGGUGAAUUUCUUCCGUUUUAUUUGAAAUUUCUUUGACCGUCCGUUUUAUUUGAAUUUUUUUUACUAAUACUCAGUAUUUUUUAAUAUAUGAUAAAAUAUAAAUAGUAAUUUAUGUGUGAUUUAUUUUUUAAAAGUUUUUUAUAAUUUUUUUAAAUAAAACAGACGGUUAAAUGUUAGACACNNNNNNN
rnacentral:pre_miRNA from 1 species